GUAGGUGGCAAGCGUUAUCCGGGAAUUAUUGGGCGUAAAGCGCGCGCAGGCGGUUUCUUAAGGUCUGAUGUGAAAGCCCACGGGCUCAACCGUGGAGGGUCAUUGGAAACUGGGGAACUUGAGUGCAGAAGAGAAAAGCGGAAUUCCACGUGUAGCGGUGAAAUGCGUAGAGAUGUGGAGGAACACCAGUGGCGAAGGCGGCGUUUUUGGUCUGUAACUGACGCUGAGGCGCGAAAGCGUGGGGAGCAAACAGGAUUAGAUACCCUGGUAGUCCACGCCGUAAACGAUGAGUGCUAAGUGUUAGAGGGUUUCCGCCCUUUAGUGCUGCAGCUAACGCAUUAAGCACUCCGCCUGGGGAGUACGGUCGCAAAGACUG
rnacentral:rRNA from 1 species